AUUGAACGCUGGCGGCAUGCUUUACACAUGCAAGUCGAACGGUAACAGGUUAAGCUGACGAGUGGCGAACGGGUGAGUAAUGCAUCGGAACGUGCCCGAUCGUGGGGGAUAACGCAGCGAAAGCUGCGCUAAUACCGCAUACGAUCUGAGGAUGAAAGCGGGGGACCGUAAGGCCUCGCGCGAUCGGAGCGGCCGAUGUCAGAUUAGGUAGUUGGUGGGGUAAAGGCUCACCAAGCCAACGAUCUGUAGCUGGUCUGAGAGGACGACCAGCCACACUGGGACUGAGACACGGCCCAGACUCCUACGGGAGGCAGCAGUGGGGAAUUUUGGACAAGGGGCGCAAGCCUGAUCCAGCCAUGCCGCGUGCGGGAAGAAGGCCUUCGGGUUGUAAACCGCUUUUGUCAGGGAAGAAAAGGUUCUGGCUAAUACCUGGGACUCAUGACGGUACCUGAAGAAUAAGCACCGGCUAACUACGUGCCAGCAGCCGCGGUAA
rnacentral:rRNA from 1 species